rnacentral:lncRNA from 1 species
GAAAACUAAGGGUCAAGUUAACAAGUUGAUAUUAUUUGUUGGAUUCAAAUAGUUGCCACAUACUCUUCGGAUUGCAUGCAUAUGCACCGUAUCUCAAUGUAGGCCAUAUCUGUUUUUUUUUUUUUUGCGGAUAUUAAUUAAUUAUAUUCUUCAACCUGAUUUGAUAUAUGGCUUUCCAGUUUCCCAUAUAUAAUUACAUGGACACUUCGUAUUCUACUGACCAUAUAAGCCUUCUCUUUGUAUAUACGCAUAACUGAAAGAGAUUAGCCAAAAGUCCUAAACCAAGAUGAUCACGGCAGGGACAGUUGGCUGUGAAAUGCCGACAAAGCUGAAGGCGACCACUUCAUCGGAC